AGCAGUCGCCACGGGAAUACAGAGGGUGCGAGCGUUAAUCGGAUUUACUGGGCGUAAAGCGUGCGUAGGCGGCUUCUUAAGUCGGAUGUGAAAUCCCUGAGCUUAACUUAGGAAUUGCAUUCGAUACUGGGAAGCUAGAGUAUGGGAGAGGAUGGUAGAAUUCCAGGUGUAGCGGUGAAAUGCGUAGAGAUCUGGAGGAAUACCGAUGGCGAAGGCAGCCAUCUGGCCUAAUACUGACGCUGAGGUACGAAAGCAUGGGGAGCAAACAGGAUUAGAGACCCCUGUAGUCCCUGUCUCUUAUAC
rnacentral:rRNA from 1 species